UACGUAGGGUGCAAGCGUUAAUCGGAAUUACUGGGCGUAAAGCGUGCGCAGGCGGUGAUGUAAGACAGAUGUGAAAUCCCCGGGCUCAACCUGGGACCUGCAUUUGUGACUGCAUCGCUAGAGUACGGUAGAGGGGGAUGGAAUUCCGCGUGUAACAGUGAAAUGCGUAGAUAUGCGGAGGAACACCGAUGGCGAAGGCAAUCCCCUGGACCUGUACUGACGCUCAUGCACGAAAGCGUGGGGAGCAAACAGG
rnacentral:rRNA from 1 species